UCUCUCUCUCUCUCUCUCUCUCUCUCUCCCCCCAAACUUACCUCCCACAUUGCUCCCCGCGUCGCGCGGGGUUUCUCUUCCGAUCAGCUCCUCUCUUCCCUCCUAUCUCUCCCUCCCUCUUUCUCGGAACGCUAACCCUAACCCUAAUUCUUGAUCUCAGUUUCCCUCCUCGGCUCGCCCUUUACUUUCUCCUAUUUGGAGGGAGGAAUCCGAUCCACCUCCUCCUCUCCGUCCUUCCUCUCUUUCGGACGCGCGUGGGCGUCAUUCUGAGAUCUUUUAUGUCGCCCGAUACCUCGUCGGUGGAGUUCUGAUGGCUUCCCGAGGAUUCCGAUUCUGGAACCGCCCGCUCCGCCAUCGAGGAGGUUGCUGUUGAUUAGGAAAGCAAAGCCCUUCCCAUUACGUUGGAGGUUUAAGCUGACAGUUGGAGGGAGUUUGGUUGGUGAAUCGGAGGUUGUUUCUGGAGAAGAACUUGAUGGCAAGGUUUUUGGCUUUUGGAAUGAUCAAGAGGAUUGGGUAUUCUUUUCGAGUGGAUCCAAAACCCCGCUGUUCAGCCUGUUCUACAAUUCACAAUCAUAGAUCACCUUUUACAGAUGAUUUAUCUAUAUCAUGCAGAGCCUUUUCACAGUACAAGUUUUCUAGUAGACAAAAUACUUCGUUUACACUCUAUAAAGCUAAAGAAAACUUAAAUGAGAUCAGCCAUGUGAAGAAGCUAGCAUUCCUUUCAGCCAGCAGUUCCGUGAGACAUCAUGCCCAAGUUGCUUGGAAAAGGCUUUCCAUGAUAUGCUUUUAUAGAGGAAUUGCCUCUCCAUCAGUCAGUAGGAUUUCUUGUGCCAUGAGCUUGGCUGUUUGUAGAUCUCAUUUAGUUCCCAGUGUCCUUGCAUUUAUUGCUGGAGAGAUGGCAUGGAGUAAGACAGCAUGGGCAGAUGGGGAGUACAUUCCAUCUAGGAAUUCCCUUUACACACGAGCACAAGAUGGCCAUGUUUAUCUCACUUCUUUAAUUUUUUCAAUUUUUGAGUGUUUUAUUUUAUUUCUAAGAGCAGUCUAUUUGGCAAUUCUAUUCUCGCCUAUGAUGGUAAUGGCUCCAUUUGCAGAGAGUUUUGGCAUGCAGUAUAGGAAAACAUGGCUCCAUCUUGUGCAUCGUACUUUAGAAAGAGCAGGUCCUGCAUUUAUAAAAUGGGGUCAGUGGGCAGCUACACGCCCAGAUCUCUUCCCUGGUGAUCUUUGUGCUGAGUUGACAAAGCUCCACAGCAAAGCACCUGCGCAUAGCUUUGCCUACACAAAGAAAAUCGUUGAAAAAGCAUUCAGUCGCAAGCUCACUGAUGUUUUCGAGAAUUUUGAGGAGGAACCUGUGGCAUCAGGAAGUGUUGCCCAGGUACAUCGAGCUUUCUUGAGAUUUCGAUAUCCUGGUCAACAGGUCAAGCGUGUUGUAGUUGCUGUAAAAGUGAGACAUCCUGGUGUUGGCGAGUCAAUUAGGAGGGAUUUCACGAUCAUUAAUGUGCUGGCCAAAAUCUCUAUGUUCAUUCCUGCAUUAAAGUGGUUGCGCCUGGAUGAAAGUGUGCAACAGUUCGCGGUUUUCAUGAUGUCUCAAGUUGAUCUUGCUAGGGAAGCUGCCCAUUUGAGCCGUUUCAUUUACAACUUCCGCAGGUGGAAGGAUGUUUCUUUCCCAAAGCCUCUUUAUCCACUAGUGCAUCCUGCUGUUUUGGUGGAGACAUAUGAGCAUGGAGAAAGUGUUUCUCAUUAUGUUGAUGAGCUUGAAGGACAUGAUCGACUUAAAAGUGCUCUUGCUCACAUCGGGACCCAUGCACUCCUGAAGAUGCUUCUGGUGGACAAUUUUGUACAUGCGGAUAUGCAUCCUGGCAAUAUCCUCGUUCGAGUAUCUCAAUCCAAGCGUACAAAUAAAGGGCUCUUUAAGUCAAGGCCUCAUGUCGUUUUCCUUGAUGUAGGCAUGACUGCUGAGCUUUCCAGCAAUGAUCGUGUAAAUUUGUUGGACUUCUUCAAGGCUGUUGCUCUUAGAGAUGGCCGUACUGCAGCAGAGUGCACCCUGAGGUUAUCAAAACAACAAAAUUGUCCAAAUCCAAAGGCUUUUGUAGAGAAGGGAUGUGCGCUUGAAGAGGAUGAGAUGGGUGGGAGGUCAGACUAACCAGAGAGGCUGCAAGUGCAAUUACAACCAAAUUUGCAGCAAAAGGGCCAAAAGUUGCAAGGAUGAGAUGGGUGGGAGGUCAGACUAACCAGAGAGGCUGCAAGUGCAAUUACAACCAAAUUUGCAGCAAAAGGGCCAAAAGUUGCAAGUCAGUUGCUUGCAAUUGAAGUGGCUUCCAGGCAACCAGAAGUUUGCAAGUGUGCACCGGCAAGCCACUUGAAGCAAAUUGACUUGCAACUUGCCUAAUUGCAGGAAGUGGAGAAGUCGUUCACCUUUUGGGGAACUGCUGAAGGUGAAUCUGUUCACCCAGCUGAGUGCAUGCACCAAUUGCUUGAGCAAGUCCGACGCCAUAAAGUCAACAUCGACGGCAAUGUUUGCACUGUAAUGGUCACAACUUUGGUUCUUGAGGGCUGGCAGCGUAAGCUGGAUCCGGAUUAUGAUGUGAUGCAGACGCUACAGACGUUAUUAUUCAGGUCUGACUGGGCACAGUCUCUUUUAUAUACAAUUGAAGGACUUAUGGCUCCUUAGGAAAAAAGGGGUUCCCUUACAGUCUGUUUCUUUACGUCCAAAAAAUUUUGACAGCAUAAAGCCAAUGUACAAGUUUAUCUUGAUAUGAUUUUGUGGAAGUUUCCUUUCUGGCAAAAUUUUUUCCCUUGUAUUUUUCGUAGUUGCUUUCCCCAAUUUAUUCCUUUUUGCUGUGCUCAGGAUGAGUGGGACAAUAAAAUGGAAUAAAAUAUACAAAAGCCUGAUUUCUGCAUAU